GACAUGCAAUCAGGGAGUACAACAUCCACAAGACUUUGGUGCACCAUCACAUUGUGCGGCUUUGGGACAUUUUUGAGAUAGAUCACAACACAUUUUGCACUGUCUUGGAGUACUGUAGUGGGAAGGACCUUGAUGCAGUUCUCAAAGCAACACCUGUGUUGCCAGAAAGGGAAGCAAGAAUCAUCAUUGUGCAGGUUUUUCAAGGCCUUAUUUACUUAAAUAAAAAGUCACAGAGGAUCAUCCAUUAUGAUCUGAAGCCCGGG
rnacentral:misc_RNA from 1 species